rnacentral:pre_miRNA from 1 species
GGGAAACAUACUUCUUUAUAUGCCCAUAUGGACCUGCUAAGCUAUGGAAUGUAAAGAAGUAUGUAUCUCA